rnacentral:lncRNA from 1 species
UGUCACGACCCAUUUCCAUGGACCGGACCGGCACUAGGACCUGGGUGGGCUUAAGGCCCCCGAAGCCCGUAGUAAGCCUAUAUUAUGUAAGCCUCGUUUCCUAUUCAUAAGUGUGGAUACAGGCCCAAUAAUUUAUUUCAAUUAUGCAUCACUAAUAAAGUUCAUUUACAACCCAACUAUAAUACAAUUGCGGAACUCUACCUGUACAUUUACAUCAUUUUUCGUUUAUCAUUAACAAUCUUCUAUAAUUCAACUCCAUAGGAUUUUUCUUUCUUCUAUUACCUGAAAAAAAUAGGUAGGCAGGGGUGAGCGCCAAACUCAAUGAGUAGGGUUAGAUAACCCUCUCACCCCACACAAUCAUACAAAUGCUGAAAUAUUUUAUUUGAUCACCGAUUAAUUUUAUGAUCAUGCAGUGUCACACAAAUGACAAUACAAUAGCAAUCACAAUUAUUAUCACCUUCAUUUAAUCACAUCACGUGGAAAUUAGUCAGUGGAGUCACCGAAAC